rnacentral:rRNA from 1 species
UAGGGAAUAUUAGAAAUGGACGCAAGUCUGAUCUAGCAACACCGCGUGCGCGAAGAAGGCCUUCGGGUCGUAAAGCACUUUUUGGAAGGAAUAGGAAGGAAUGUACUUCCAGAAUAAGUCUCGGCUAACUACGUGCCAGCAGCCGCGGUAACACGUAGGAGGCGAACGUUAUCCGGAUUUACUGGGCGUAAAGCGCGUGUAGGUGGUUCUGUAAGUAGGGCGUGAAAGCUCCUGGCUCAACUGGGAGAGGCCGUUCUAAACUACAGAGCUAGAGGAUGGUAGAGGGAGGUGGAAUUCCAGGUGUAGCGGUGGAAUGCGCAGAUAUCUGGAGGAACACCAGUGGCGAAGGCGGCCUCCUGGACCAUUCCUGACACUCAGACGCGAAAGCUAGGGUAGCAAACG